rnacentral:misc_RNA from 1 species
GCCCGAUCCUUAGUCCUCAGCUCUUGUGGCUGCCGCCCCCCAAUUCUCAGUUACCGCCGCCGCCACCUUAGUCCAAGGCUCCCUCCGCCGCCUCCACCUCAGUUCUCGGCUCCUGCAUCAUCGAUUUUAUGUACUGUGACGCACGAUCAUUUAGUCAUCUACUGGGCUAGUUGGUUGAAACAAGUUGAACACGCAAAAGUUA